rnacentral:rRNA from 1 species
UACGGAGGAUGCGAGCGUUAUCCGGAUUUAUUGGGUUUAAAGGGUGCGCAGGCGGGAGAUUAAGUCGGCGGUGAAAUUUUGCAGCUCAACUGUAAAAGUGCCUUCGAAACUGGUUUCCUUGAGUGUAGAUGAAGUAGGCGGAAUUUGUGGUGUAGCGGUGAAAUGCAUAGAUAUCACGAGGAACUCCGAUUGCGCAGGCAGCUUACUAAACUACUACUGACGCUCAGGCACGAAGGCGUGGGGAUCAAACAGGAUUAGAUACCCGGGUAGU